GACGAACGCUGGCGGCGUGCCUAAUACAUGCAAGUAGACCUGAGUUGCGAACGGGUGAGUAACGCGUAGGCACCUGCCUCAUAGCGGGGGAUAACUAUUGGAAACGAUAGCUAAUACCGCAUACUGUUAGAUGGACCUGCGUUGUAUUAGCUAGUUGGUGGGGUAAAGGCCUACCAAGGAGACGAUCCGGAACUUGUCUGCGAGGAUGAUCAGUCACACUGGGACUGAGACACGGUCCAGACUCCUACGGGAGGCAGCGGUGGGGAAUAUUGGACAAUUGGCGAAAGCCUGAUCCAGCCAUGCCGCGUGUGUGAAGAAGGUCUUCGGAUUGUAAAGCACUUUAAGUUGGGAGGCGUUACCAACAGAAUAAGCACCGGCUAACUUCGUGCCAGCAGCCGCGGUAAUAC
rnacentral:rRNA from 1 species